CCCUCCCUUCAAUCUCUUUCCGCUUCAAGCCUUCCGAACAGGAGGAAGUUCAUCUCACUACUCCGGUACUUGUCGACUAUCGGUCUCAUGCCGGUAUUUAGCCUUAGAUGGAGUUUACCACCCGAAAUAGGAGCUCUACCACCUGGGCUCUGCAACCAUGGAUGUCUGCACAGAAAGCAGGUCUUUAGUAACAUUGAAGAUGAAAAGGCAAAACAUGAAGAAGUCGCAUGCAUGUACUUUCUGAGUUAUAUUUCAAAUAUAAAAAGUGGUGGUGGCUCUGGCUGAAUAUCGACUCUGCGCUGCAAGAUGGCCCAAGUGGCCCCAGCUUUAAUCUGAGAAGUGGUUGGAGCUCGUCUGAUCUCCCAUGCCGGAGAGGGCUAAGGUCUCCUCCAGAGUGAUCCCUCUCCCUCAAUGCACCCCCACAGUCUGAGGUGUUGGUUAACGCUGAUGCAGAGAGAAAUAAUAUGAGUAAAUCACCUGCAGGUGACCAUGAUGGCUGAGCACUAGGCACUGAUCCUGAUGCUGCCGUGACUUCAUGAGGAUGUCUCACUUCAAGGCAUCAAUCUGCCCAUGAGAUCUAAUCCGAUGUCCUUGGGAUGCAGAGGCUCCAUGUAACCUGAGGUGCAGUGCGUUGAAGGCAACAGGAAGAUGGUGAAGGAGGACAGGAGGAUGUAAAGCUCUGAGUCGUAGCGACUGGACAAAGUGCUAUACGAGUACCGUCAGAGUUCUCUAAAGGAUUUCUUACAAACUGUUCAGCUGAACGGUUUUUCUCCGAAACAAUUGUUGAAAUAAACAUCUUACACA